rnacentral:rRNA from 1 species
AUUGAACGCUGGCGGCAUGCCUUACACAUGCAAGUCGAACGUCAGCACGGGUGCUUGCACCUGGUGGCGAGUGGCGAACGGGUGAGUAAUACAUCGGAACGUACCUUAUCGUGGGGGAUAACAAAUUGAAAAAUUUGCUAAUACCGCAUAAUACUCUGAGGAGGAAAGCAGGAGAUUCGUAAGAACCUCUUGCGAUUAGAGCGGCCGAUGGCUGAUUUGCUAGUUGGUGAGGUAAAGGCCCACCAAGGCAACGAUCAGUAGCAGGUCUGAGAGGAUGAUCUGCCACAAUGGAACUGAGAAACGGUCCAGACUCCUACGGGAGGCAGCAGUGGGGAAUUUUGGACAAUGGACGAAAGUCUGAUCCAGCAAUGCCGCGUGAGUGAAGAAGGCCUUCGGGUUGUAAAGCUCUUUUGUCAGUGAAGAAAACUUUAGUAAUAACACUAUUAAAGCAUGACGGUAACUGAAGAAUAAGGACCGGCUAACUACGUGACAGCCGCCGCCGUAA